AGAAUCAACGCUGGCGGCGUGCCUAACACAUGCAAGUCGAACGAGAAAGGGUAGCAAUACCUGAGUAAAGUGGCGCACGGGUGAGUAACACGUGACUAACCUACCCUGGAGUGGGGGAUAACUGAGGGAAACCUUAGCUAAUACCGCAUAAUACCUACGGGUCAAAGGAGCAAUUCGCUUCAGGAGGGGUCGCGGCCGAUUAGUUAGUUGGCGGGGUAAUGGCCCACCAAGACGAUGAUCGGUA
rnacentral:rRNA from 1 species